UACGAAGGGGGCUAGCGUUGUUCGGAAUUACUGGGCGUAAAGGGCGCGUAGGCGGUACUUCAAGUCAGGCGUGAAAGCCCCGGGCUCAACCUGGGAACCGCGCUUGAGACUGGAGAACUAGAGUUCGGGAGAGGAUGGUGGAAUUCCCAGUGUAGAGGUGAAAUUCGUAGAUAUUGGGAAGAACACCGAUGGCGAAGGCAGCCAUCUGGACCGACACUGACGCUGAGGCGCGAAAGCAAGGGGAUCAAACAGG
rnacentral:rRNA from 1 species